ACGGGGGGGGCAAGCGUUGUUCGGAAUUACUGGGCGUAAAGCGCGCGCAGGCGGUUGGUCGCAUCGGCGGUGAAAGCCCCCCGCUCAACGGGGGAGGGUCCGUCGCGAUGGGCCGACUGGAGGCAGGGAGAGGGCGGUGGAAUUCCGGGUGUAGUGGUGAAAUGCGUAGAGAUCCGGAGGAACACCAGUGGCGAAGGCGGCCGCCUGGACCUGACCUGACGCUGAGGCGCGAAGGCGCGGGGAGCGAACGGGA
rnacentral:rRNA from 1 species